GCAGACACAUUCCAGCCAAUCUGCAGCAGACCCUCCCUCCCAGACUCUCCCACCUCCUGGACAGCUCACUAAGAAUGCAGCUUCACAAUGAAUGUAAAAUGGAUGCUGUCCAGGAGGUGGGAGGGUCUGGGAGGGAGGGUCUGCUGCUGAUUGGCUGGAAUGUGUCUG
rnacentral:miRNA from 1 species